AACCAACGCUGGCGGCGUGCCUCAGACAUGCAAGUCGAACGAUUAAAGCUCUCUUCGGAGAGUGUAUAGAGUGGCGCACGGGUGAGUAACACGUAAGUAAUCUACCUUCGAGUGGGGAAUAACAGUCGGAGACGACUGCUAAUACCGCAUAAUGCAGCGGCAUCGCAAGAUGACAGUUGUUAAAGGAAUUUAUUUCGCUUGAAGAGGAGCUUGCGGCAGAUUAGCUAGUUGGUAAGGUAAUGGCUUACCAAGGCUACGAUCUGUAACCGGUCUAAGAGGACGGUCGGUCACACUGACACUGAAUAACGGGUCAGACUCCUACGGGAGGCAGCAGUCGGGAAUUUUGGGCAAUGGGCGAAAGCCUGACCCAGCAACGCCGCGUGAAGGAUGAAGUAUUUCGGUAUGUAAACUUCGAAAGAAUAGGAAGAAUAAAUGACGGUACUAUUUAUAAGGUCCGGCUAACUACGUGCCAGCCGCCGCCGUAAC
rnacentral:rRNA from 1 species